rnacentral:rRNA from 1 species
AUUGAACGCUAGCGGGAUGCUUUACACAUGCAAGUCGAACGAGUGGCGGACGGGUUAGUAAUAUAUCGGAACGUGCCUAGUAGCGGGGGAUAACUACUCGAAACCGUGGCUCAUAACGCAUACUAUUGGCGCGGCCGAUAUCGGAUUAGCUAGUUGGUGGGGUAAAGGCUCACCAAGGCAACGAUCCGUAGCUGGUUUGAGAGGACGACCAGCCACACUAGGAAUGAGACACGGUCCAGACUCCUACGGGAGGCAGCAGUGGGGAAUUUUGGACAAUGGGGGAAAGCCUGAUCCAGCCAUCCCGCGUGUAUGAGAAGGCCUUCGGGUUGUAAAGUACUUUUGGUUGAGAAGCGUUAUCUUCAGAAUAAGCACCGGCUAACUUCGUGCCAGCAGCCGCGGUAAUAC